CACGGUAGGGGGCAAGCGUUGUCCGGAUUUAUUGGGCGUAAAAGAGCUCGUAGGUGGCUCGGUAAGUCGGGUGUGAAAUUUACGAGGCUCAACCUCGGAGACGCCACCUGAUACUGCUGUGGCUAGAGGUCCGGUGAGGGGAGCGUGGAAUUCCUGGUGUAGCGGUGAAAUGCGCAGAUAUCGAGGAGGAACACCAGCGGCGAAGGCGGCGCUCUGGGCCGGUACUGACACUGAGGAGCGAAAGGCGUGGGGAGCAAACAGG
rnacentral:rRNA from 1 species